rfam:Salmo salar isolate Sally breed double haploid chromosome ssa01, whole genome shotgun sequence.
UGCACUCACUACUGUAAGUCGCUCUGGAUAAGAGCGUCUGCUAAAUUACUAAAA